rnacentral:rRNA from 1 species
CAGUCGCCACGGUAACACGGAGGGUGCAAGCGUUAAUCGGAAUUACUGGGCGUAAAGCGCACGCAGGCGGUCUGUCAAGUCAGAUGUGAAAUCCCCGGGCUCAACCUGGGAACUGCAUUAGUGACUGCAUCGCUGGAGUGCGGCAGAGGGGGAUGGAAUUCCGCGUGUAGCAGUGUAAUGCGUAGAUAUGCGGAGGAACACCGAUGGCGAAGGCAAUCCCCUGGGCCUGCACUGACGCUCAUGCACGAAAGCGUGGGGAGCAAACAGGAUUAGAUACCCGCGUAGUCCCUGUCUCUUAUAA